CUUGACUAAUUUGUAUCCAGAGUAAAAAUUGAUGAAGCCAAUAAAACGGGUAAGCUUCAAAAGAUCGGCGUCUCAGGAUCUCCCCGCUGAUUCAAAAGUCAUAAAGGAGCUGGCACAAGAGGUGAGGAAAAUUGGAGACUUCCUGCACAUGAGAUAUAUACUACUCAAGUCUCUCCAAGCUGAACAGAACUCCAGGAAAAAAUUGUCAAGCAAUCAAGAAAAUUGAAACAUUUAACAGAUUAUUUUAUUUCCAAGUUUUUGGAAAGCAGUAACAGAUGGAAGUCAUUCUUGGAGGACGAGAGAAUGACAGGCUCAGAUUCCUGGUACUUUCAACCAUGUGACUGAAAGGAGCAGGGGAGAUACAGCUUCAGUGAACUAAUGCUCCCCUGUUAGGCUCCAAGGAAAAAAAAACAAAACAGAGCCACAAAAAUUACUUUGAAUAAAGGCACAAUUUUACAAUUUCUUGAAUAGACUCUAAAGUUGAGUGAACUUCUGCCAUUGUUGGGAGCAGACAAACUAAAUUGUGUGGACGUUAUGUAAAGUACUUUAUUAACUCAAGAAUUUGUAACAACAAAAAGAAAUACUUGGUAAAGUUAAUAAAAUUGAGAGUUGAAAGAAAUGAAUAUUUUUAUGUUGGAAUAUACUUUGAAAUUUUUAAUCCAUAUACUGCAUUGUUUCAUGUUUCAAUUAACGUGACUUUUUUGUAAACUAAUUUAAAUCACUGUUACUAUAAUCUGGUGAUUGUUGUUGUUGGCACAAAGUUGUUUUCAUAACCUUCACACUGUUAAUGUAUUAACUUACCUAACAAAUAAAGUCUACAAUUCCUUCAUGUCA